rnacentral:rRNA from 1 species
AUACGAAGGGUGCAAGCGUUAAUCGGAAUUACUGGGCGUAAAGCGUGCGUAGGUGGUUUGUUAAGUCAGAUGUGAAAGCCCUGGGCUCAACCUGGGAACUGCAUUUGAUACUGGCAGGCUAGAGUGCGGUAGAGGGUGGUGGAAUUCCCGGUGUAGCGGUGAAAUGCGUAGAGAUCGGGAGGAACAUUCGUGGCGAAGGCGGCCACCUGGACCAGCACUGACACUGAGGCACGAAAGCGUGGGGAGC